rnacentral:rRNA from 1 species
GACGAACCGUGCGAACGUUAUUCGGAAUCACUGGGCUUAAAGCGCGUGUAGGCGGGACGGCACGUCGGUAGCUGAAAUCCCCCGGCUCAACCGGGGAACGGGCGCCGAUACGACCGCCCUCGAGGGACGUAGGGGGACCUGGAACUUCCGGUGGAGCGGUGAAAUGCGUUGAGAUCGGAAGGAACGCCCGUGGCGAAAGCGAGGUCCUGGACGUUUUCUGACGCUGAGACGCGAAAGCCAGGGGAGCGAACGGG